GUUGGUUGGUGGAGAUGGUAAUGGUGAUAAAAAUACUGAUGAGGUUACUCAAGAGGUAGCUGACGUUAAAGACGUUAACCUUUCAGACUCUUCUCAGGUGUCUGCUGAACGAACUUCAAGGUUGUUUUGUGAUCUGUUGGAAGGAUG